CACGGCCCUCAUCGUCACUAGUACUCAGCCGCUUGGGACACUGGCUGAAUGUUCGCCCCUAACUUACCCAGAAAACACAAGAACUAGUUCGAUGUCGUUUCAAGCUCACCAAACUCUGCGGGAAGUUACGAAACUGUCUCUAGUGUCUAGAUAGGGGAACUGUUACACGGACGUGAAGUCUCACCUCCUAUUGUGUAUCUCCAGGAAGCAAGACAUGGAGUCCAAAACCAGUAUCCUAUAAAGUAUUCAGAGAGGGAUCCCCUCCAGGCUGGGGAGAAACAGGACAGCCUAACAAACAGGGCCUGGACUCUUCCCCAAACAAAACACGUUUUUCUCCACUUUUCCCCUUCCUACUCCCUGAAAUCUAGACACUCUUUUUAAGAGAAACUGAGAGGUAUGAAGAACGUCUAGAGCCUAAAGCGGCCCGUUGCCAGAUUCUACUCCUCAGGCCUUAAAUGCGGGCUAGGCCCCCGAUCACGUGAUCCCGCUCCCAACUCCCGGCGGAAGAGGCCGGCGAAAGCGCUGCAAGAAGCGAGUAGGCGGACGCUUGUGCCCGGCUGAAAGAUGGCGGCUGCCGCUAGGCAGCCACCGCCUGGGAGGUUACUAUGAGGCCCGCAGCUCCCGCCGGCUCCCGCGGACCGCUGCCGCCUCCUUACCAUGAAGCCAGUGAGUCGUCGCACGCUGGACUGGAUUUACUCAGUGUUGCUGCUUGCCAUCGUUUUAAUCUCCUGGGGCUACGUCAUCUAUGCAUCAACGGUGGCUGCAAGACGACAGCUAAGGAAGAAAUACCCAGAUAAUUUUUGGGACGAAUGAAAAUUUGUAACUCCUCUGGAUUUAAUUCUCUGCAAAUACAUUUCUUUCCCUCAUGCUUAUGUAGAUUUAAAAAUAAAAUUAAUAAUGCAAAGCU